AAGGACCUCGUCUCGGGAGACACACCGUU
rnacentral:sRNA from 1 species